rnacentral:lncRNA from 1 species
GUGCUAAUAAACCUGAAAUCAGUCAAUCACAUUUUCAAACCCUGCGCUGGUGUAUUGGUGUGUAGUAUUUACAUGGUAGAAUGUUACUAGACCUCAGAGAGAUUCUAAUUACUAACUCCCAUCAGGGCUUGGUAUUUGGAAUAUUUCCUGGCAGCAAUGAUUUAAAAAAGUAAGAAACAAUAACCCUUUUAAAGCAGAAUUAAGAUUAUUUAUGACUUUAAUUAAAAAUUGAAAAUUGGCAUUAUUUCAAAAAGCCUUUACAAAAAUGUGAAUUCAUCAAAAAUAACCAUAAAAAUUCCAGGGUGAUAAAGGCACAGUGGAGUAAUGGUCCCAGCCCUAGGGAAUUGUUUUGUUGAAAAGAAUAAAACUCUUUUCUGUCACACCCUGUUAGUCAUGGACUCCUUUAAUAUACCCUGCCUGCCUGCCUGCCUCUAAUCCUCUUUUCAACCUCCCCCUGGACACUAAAUGACAUUAUUUUGGUCUUAACAUGGCUGGCUUUAUGAAGCCUUUCUCUGAAAUCAUGGCCAGUGACAAGCCACCCUCACCCGUAAGACAAAUGUUUAUUAGGAGGGGUAGAGAUCUGGUAAGUGAUGCCCUGGUCAUGGGCAUGGGGCCCUUUCCCACACCUGUUGGAUCCUACUGAAAACCAAGAACCUGAAAACUCAGCAAAAUAUUCAAGCUGUG